GAUGAAGAACGUAGCAAAAUGCGAUACUUGGUGUGAAUUGCAGAAUCCCGUGAACCAUCGAGUUUUUGAACGCAAGUUGCGCCCGAAGCCUUUUGGCCGAGGGCACGUCUGCCUGGGCGUCACGCAUCGCGUCGCCCCCCACAAUUCUCCGUAAAGGGAACGUGUGUUUUGGGGGCGGAUAUUGGUCUCCCGUGCUCAUGGCGUGGUUGGCCGAAAUAGGAGUCCUUUCGAUGGACGCACGAACUAGUGGUGGUCGUAAAAACCCUCGUCUUUUGUUUCGUGCUGUUGCUCGCAAGGUAAACUCUUUAAAAACCCCAAUGUGUCGUCUCUUGACGACGCUUCGACCGCGACCCCAGGUCAGUCGGGACUACCCGCUGAGUUUAAGCAUAUCAAUAAGCGGAGGA
rnacentral:misc_RNA from 1 species